AAGAUUUGUUGCCACUUAUUCAUUAUUUCAAAAAGUCCAUAAAAAACAAUCAAAUCUUUCUUUAAACAAGUAAUGAUUUAUUAUUGUAAUUGGUACAUCAAAAGAUUGGAUUUACAUGACUUAUUCCACUUCACUUUUGUUUGUGAAAAGAUUUAUGGUUCAAUGCCAUUGGGUCUGAUGAUUUUAUAAUACUACACCAACUAGUUUUCUUAUAAAAAUAAAAGUCUGUCUGUCUGUUCUGCAUUAGUUUUAUGUCGUCAUAAAGUUUAGAUUGUCUCAACUGAUUUCCGUUAAGUUUUAUGCACAGUCAUAGAUAUUUAUAAAACAAAGAUCCUUGUUGAAAAAAAAAAACAUUGAUUAAAAAAACGGCAG
rnacentral:lncRNA from 1 species